UAUCCGGACAAGGCAUGCUCAAUCGAUCAAGAGUCGUGCCCUGGAAAGCAUCCUUAGCUAGAAGAAGUUGCCCUGCAGGUGCCCCUCAUCUGCUGGAUUCAAUGGCCCUCGCUUUCUUCAAGGGACCCUCAACGGCCAAAGCUGCCCUUCUCUUGAAAAUAUUUUUCUUCAACCUUGCUAAGACAUUAGGCUCCAUAUCUACAAUAAUAUGGUAAGAAUUAGAAGUGCAAGGAGAAAGCAAAGAAAAGGCCACUAUUUUCUACUCAUCCUCAGGGA
rnacentral:lncRNA from 1 species